rnacentral:sRNA from 12 species
CCUUUGGACUGUUAUAUCAAACCAUAGUAGUUAGCAAUAACGAGGUGGGACAGGUUGAAGAAGGAA